rnacentral:rRNA from 1 species
GAUGAACGCUGGCGGCGUGCCUAAUACAUGCAAGUCGAGCGAACGGACGAGAAGCUUGCUUCUCUGAUGUUAGCGGCGGACGGGUGAGUAACACGUGGAUAACCUACCUAUAAGACUGGGAUAACUUCGGGAAACCGGAGCUAAUACCGGAUAAUAUUUUGAACCGCAUGGUUCAAAAGUGAAAGACGGUCUUGCUGUCACUUAUAGAUGGAUCCGCGCUGCAUUAGCUAGUUGGUAAGGUAACGGCUUACCAAGGCAACGAUGCAUAGCCGACCUGAGAGGUUGAUCGGCCACACUGGAACUGAGACACGGUCCAGACUCCUACGGGAGGCAGCAGUGGGGAAUCUUCCGCAAUGGGCGAAAGCCUGACGGAGCAACGCCGCGUGAGUGAUGAAGGUCUUCGGUUCGUAAAACUCUGUUAUUAGGAAAGAACAUAUGUGUAAGUAACUGUGCACAUCUUGACGGUACCUAAUCAGAAAGCCACGGCUAACUACGU